rnacentral:rRNA from 1 species
UACGUAGGUGACAAGCGUUGUCCGGAUUUACUGGGCGUAAAGAGCGCGCAGGCGGUCGAUCAAGUCGAGUGUGAAAGCCCCCGGCUCAACUGGGGAGGGUCAUUCGAUACUGAUCGACUCGAAGGCAGGAGAGGGUAGUGGAAUUCCCGGUGUAGUGGUGAAAUGCGUAGAUAUCGGGAGGAACACCAGUGGCGAAGGCGCCUUGCUGGACCUGCACUGACACUGAGGGACGAAAGCUAGGGGAGCGAAAGGG